CUCCUGAGAAACACCUUCCCCAAUCCCACCCUCUAUUUCUACCCUGCUCCCAUCCCUCAUUAAAACCCUAUCCCCUUCCCACCCCUCCCUACCCCACCCGCCCCUCCCUCCACUCCACCCCCCAUCUCCACCUCCUCCCCGUCACCCCAGCGCCCCUUGAAAGGACCAAGACAUGAAGGUGCAGAGGCUGUUGUUCUGGCUGCUCUUGCUCUGGUGUCCCAGUUCCCCAAACCCAAAUGAAGCUGGAAAAUACACACUGUGAACUGAAGGCACAGAAGAGUCAACUGGCAGCUGCUGAGGAAAAUUUGAAACUGGUUACCGAAGAGAUAGACAAGUAUAAACAAGAAAUUGGAGAAAUGCAAGAUCAGCUACAGAAGGCAGAGCUCAACUUCAAACUCAAGGUCGCAGCUCAUGAGAGAAGUGCUCUAGAUAAUUGGGUUAAGGCUCGGUUUUGGGAGAGGAAGAUAGUGCAGCAGAGCAGGGAGAACACCUACAUGAAACACAGACUGCACAUGAUGAGGAGAGACACGCCUCCUGAGGGAUCCAUGAGGCAGGAACCGAUGCCGGGAAGAUCCGAGAUAUGGAACCGUGUGCAGAGAGAAUCUAGACCGGUUCCCAGGAUGAACAGCAGCACCAGCCCGAAAAAGGACCCGGAGAUGGCUACGGUCGGUACAGAUGUGAGAGGGUUUCCUCGUGCUCCAAGGCCCUCCCAUAUGCCCUACCACACGGGGCGGUGUUUACCAGGCUUCACUGUCUAUGGGCUACCUCAGCCUCCUCCACAUGGGUGGACAGGGUGGCCUUAUCUACAGCUCGUUCCUCCACCACAUGGGCUUCAGUCAUAUUCAGAAACCUGUGGCACUCAAGGGGACAACAGCGGCACCCCGCCCAAGAAGGUCCCGCAGAAGGACCAGGACAGGAAAUUUGAAAUUUGAAGACCUCCCUGAGCAAUUACAACCAGGCGGUGUGUGUAUAUAUUUAGAAAAUUGUCAGAUCAGCCUAAUGUCCUGAAUGCUGUCCCUGCCCAUCCUGUCCCCUGUGCUCUGUCUCUCCUGGUAUCCCCCAAAUAAACCUUUCACAGUUCUGUCUCUGUGUCAGCGUCUGCCUUCAGGAGGCCCUACAGUCACUCGCCUUCGAGUGCACAGUGUGAAUCCCGUACACAGAACAA
ensembl:lncRNA